rnacentral:rRNA from 1 species
UACGGAGGGUGCGAGCGUUGUCCGGAAUCACUGGGCGUAAAGGGCGCGUAGGCGGCGCGAGCAGUCGAUCGUGAAAGUCCGGAGCUCAACUCCGGAUCGGCGGUCGAUACUCUCGUGCUUGAGCACUGUAGAGGCAGAUGGAAUUCCGGGUGUAGCGGUGGAAUGCGUAGAGAUCCGGAAGAACACCGGUGGCGAAGGCGGUCUGCUGGGCAGUUGCUGACGCUGAGGCGCGACAGCGUGGGGAGCAACAGG